rnacentral:sRNA from 1 species
CUACUACAGUGGCGGAGCCGUACAGGACCUGUUUCACUGCAGGGGGAUCCAAAACAAGCCCCGUGGAGCAGCAGCCAGAGCAACAGCAGCCGCAAGACAUUGUUUCUCUCCCUCUGCCCCCCUUCCCCACGCAACCCCAGAUCCAUUUACACUUUACAAACAUCAGUGCUCUAUCCUCAUGUCCUUCUAAGAAUCAAAAGAUUUAACCUCACAGAAUCCAGCAUCUGGCUUGUGAGUGAGACUCCUUUUUCCAUGUGAUAACCAGUCUGCUUUGGAGAGGCAAAAGAAUCUUACCAACACGUACAUAUUUUAGGAUGGUCUCUGAGCCAAUUCAUCAAGCCAACUCCUCACUUUGAAACAAGAAAGUGAAGAGGAUGUUUCAUGAUUGUGGAAUACCUGCCAGAGGAAGAAUCUACCGAAGUUUGGUCAACUAUUAAUUGGAAAGGAGGCAGCAGACUGAGGAGACAGAGAAUCUUUGCUCUCAGGUGGAUGGAGGUUGGAGUCCUCAAUCUGUCACUUGUGGGUACAUUAUGUAGCUCCUUCACCUCCAUUUCUUUAUUUAUUAGAAGGAGGGUAAUAAAAGUGUCCACUGCCUAGGAUGGUUCUAAGGCUUAGAGGAGAUAAUGAAACUCAAGGGCUUAACAUGUGAAUGUUAGCUAUUAUCAUUGCAUGUGUCCAUUAACACCCAAAGAUAACCAGUGUUGUUUAGUAGUUCUUUGCGUAUUUUCUUACUAAAUAGAUAA